rnacentral:rRNA from 1 species
UACGUAGGGUGCAAGCGUUAAUCGGAAUUACUGGGCGUAAAGCGUGCGCAGGCGGUUUUGUAAGUCUGUCGUGAAAUCCCCGGGCUCAACCUGGGAAUUGCGAUGGAGACUGCAAGGCUAGAAUCUGGCAGAGGGGGGUAGAAUUCCACGUGUAGCAGUGAAAUGCGCAGAUAUCAGGAGGAACACCAAUGGCGAAGGCAGCACUCUGGGCUGACACUGACGCUCAUGCACGAAAGCGUGGGGAGCAAACAGG